AGCAGCAGGGCGCCCCUCCCACAGCAAGCUCAAGGACAGCUAGGUGGGGGAGAAGGCCCGCGCUGGGGCAGAAAGGGAGGCCUGGGCAGAGGUGGUAAAGCCAGGGGAGACGUGACCAGAUGUGCCCACCGCACCCCGUUUCCUGCCAGAAGCCAUGGGCUUCUGAGCGGCAGGUUCCCAAGCACAAAGCCUGAGUCCAAGGGCCCCCUGCCUGCCCUCCUUACCAGACAGCCUGACUCAGUUUGUCCAGUGUGUGCAUGUGACCCACUGCAGUCCCCGGAGUGACUCAGGCGGCCUGGAAGCCCCUUCCCGGGGGGACACCAGGCUGCCCACGGUGACUUCUCACAGACAUGGCGGAAACAGGCUGUGGCCUCCAGGCCCAGGCACGGUUCCCGGUUCCCGGGGGGAGCCCAUCAGGGUCUUGGCCCCACGUCCCACCCUCCGGAGGGCCUAAGGACUGUAGGAGGGGGUGGGGAACUCUUCUCAAAGGGCCUUUGUGGGAGCGGCUGGGGGGGCUGCCGGGGGACCCCGCCCUGGGUGACUCACGCCUCAUUGCUGGGCGGUGACUCACGCCCAGGCCCCCCUCUGGCCCGCCUGCAGCAGGUGCUGCCAGCUUGGGCUUCGGGAUGGGGGCCUCUGCAGCCGCCUCAUGCCAUCCUCCCCGGGGCCUGUGACCCGCACCCAUUUCCACGGGCACCUGCCCCGCGCCCACCUCCCUGCCCUACAGCGAGAGAGCUCAGACCACUGAGAAAACUCCCCCCCCUUGGUUGGCAGAGCCCCCUGGUACUGAGAUGUGCCAGCCGUCGUCUCACUAUUGAUUCACUGAUCCUCAAACCACCCAAGAGGUGCCAGCUGCUGGCCCCACCCGGUGCCCCCCCACCCCUGUGCCAUGGCCGGCUGGGGUUCCUGGGGAUGGGAUUUGCUGCCUGUCACAAAUCACAUUGCCAGGGAUUUCCAACCGACCCUGAGCCCUGCCUCUGGGGCUGCCACCACCACCACCACCACCACCACCACCACCACUGCUGCCGCCACUGCUGAGGACACUGCCUGGGGAUGGGGUUGAGGCUGGGGUGGGGGUGGAUGGCAGAGAGGCCCCUGCUGUCUUCGUCUGGCCUGGGGAGCAGGGCUUAGCUGCUUGUGAGCAGAGUCCACACCAAGUCGUGUUCACAGUGGCUAAGUUCCGCCCCCCGGGACCCCGCCUCCUCUGGCUCUGCCGCUGCGCCUGUCUGGGCCUCCCUGGGCUCUGCCUCCCGUGCCUACUGAGCUGAAACACAGUUGAUUUGUGCAGACUGGCUCAGUUCAGCAGGAACAGGAGUCGAGCCCCCUCGGAGCCUGUGGCGCCGGCCUUCCUUGGGUGGGCUGCUGCCUGGGGGAACGAUGAGGACCCUGACCCAGAUCUGUGUCUGGAGGUGGGACUUGCGGGGAGGGACGUAGCUUGGGAUGGGGUAGGAGGGCCCGGCUGUCUGCUGCAGCCUUCCACCCCUGUGCAGUCCUACCUAUCCCUGGAUCUACCCUGGGCAGAAUAUACAGGUGGGUGGUUGGCCCUUCCAUGGGAAAGGAAAAUCAGCUGUAUCUGCCCCCACCCAACCCCCCAUCCCCCAGAUAGACCUCCCAGCCUGGAGCCUUGGCACUCUCUCCCCCAGGCCUGGUGGGGCAUGGGCCAGGCCUAUAGCUUCCUGGCAGCCAGUUACCCAAGAGGAAGCUGCCUUGGCCCCCAGACCGUUAAAUGCCAACUCCAGCUUCCGGAACCAGGCUGGCCUGACCUGAGUGUGCCUGGCCCCUUCUCCCCGAGCCCAGCAGCUUCCUAACUUGGGGGUUGGAGCUGUGAUGUGCUCCUGGCACGUAGGGCAGGGAGCAAGGUCCCUGUGGGCCCAGAAAAGACACAAAUCACAUCCUGGGGUGUCUAAGAGUUGAGGCUCUGUCCCAUGUCAGAUGGGAUGGGCUCUUUUUAGAGGGAGACUGGGGAAGCAGAAAGAAGCCUCCUAGGCUGUCAGGGGUGGCCCACCCAGGGUGGGGACAGACACAAGCUUGGGGCAGGGUCUGUAUUGUGUGUGGCUCCUGUUGUCCAGUUAAAUAAAAGCUGCUCCCUGCCUCA
rnacentral:lncRNA from 12 species